CAUUAUUUUUUAUUAUUAUUUAUUUCUAGUGCAUCCGAGCGCUCGUGCUGGAUUCGCUGCUUUCCCCCCGGGCUUGCGUUCGGCUCUUGGCAGAGCUUCUCUUUGUCCACAGGGAUCCGGGCGCUGAUGCCCGGGAGAUGCGGGGAGGAGGGGGAAUGCGGCAGGAUGUCUGCGCUAUCCCCGCGGAAAUCCGCGCCCGCUGCCUGCAGCAGCGCUGCGGCCGGGACACACAGCUGGCUUCACAUACAGACAUAUAUAUAUAUAGACAUAUACAUAGACGGAUAUAUAUAUAAAAAAACAUAUAUAUUUUUAUAUGUAUAUACAUAGAUAUAUGCGCCAGUGUAGCAUGUAUAUGUAUAUGUAUAUUAAUUUUUAAGCUUUGCCCCUCCCGCCACCCGCCCCUCCCCUCAGCCCUUCCACCCCCCUUGUCACCUGCCCUUGUGGGGCCAGGGCGUCGUAUUAAAGCCACCCCAGAGUUGAGGGGACAGGCAGGGGGACAGCACGGCACCCCCUCGCCGUGCACAACCUCUCUCCAUCCCUCCUCCACCUCCUCAUCUCUCCCUCCCUCCAUCCCUCAUCCACCUUUCCACCUAUCCAUCUCUCCAUCCUUUCUCCAUUUCUCCACCUCUUCAUCUCUCCCUCCCUCCACCCUUCCUCCACCUCUCCAUCCCUCCAUGCCCCCCUCCCCGCACACCUCCUGCUCCGGCGCACACUCAAACUUCUCCCAGCACCUCCCUACCUCGUUCCCCUUCUCCCCCCUCCCCCCCCCCCGCUCCCUAAAACCCACCGAGGCUUUGAGGGGCGUUUUCACGAUGUUUCCGAACCCGGCAGGAAUCGGCACCUUCCUUCCAGCGACGAGAGGUCAUGCUACAAGUUAGCAUGACGGCAGGGAUUGGAAAAGAAUCUUUUUUGUCAGCGCCAUCAAUUUUUCCUUUUUUUUUUUUCUUUUUUUUCCUUUCCUUCUAUUUUCCCUCCCUGCUGUUGGCUGUCAGACCAAAGUUUCACAAAAUGGUAGUGCCUCUCCAAAACAAGACUCGGAAGAAACUGUACUGCAGAAGUUAGCUGGAGGAAAAACAGCUUAUAAAUCUCGAUCUUUUGCUGGGGAAAAAAAAAAAAAAAGAAAGAAAAAUAGUAAGUUUCCAAACAAAUGCGCGCUUUCCUUCUUUUCUUCUCUAGGAAAAGGUAGCCAUUGCUCUUCUUUAGACUAGACAUUUCUAAUUUGUUCCGUCUGUCAGAAUGGGACUAUGAGAGGUUUUGGUGCAAAUUCAUUAUCUCUGGCAACGCACAACGUAUAGCAGGAGCUGAAAAAGACCGUGGCAAUGGAUGAACAAUAGGGCUUCAGUCCAUCAGCAACAAAAGCGUUGGGGAAAUUGGUUGAAUUUCUGAGCACGUCCUCCUCAGCAGGGAGGGCUGGACUAGACCUUGGCCAACCCCCCCAAAAAACUUGCAGAUCCUCGCAUAGAACACUUCACUUUCUACUCCGGGGCGCAGGAAGCCAUAUGGAAAGAAAAGGAGGAAAAGAGGGGAAAAAAGAAAGGAAGAAAAAAAGCCAAACCGAAGUCAGCUUCUGCGUUUCUCUCCCUGUUUUGUUUUGUUUGUUUCUGGAUGGAAGAUUUCCGACUCAGCGCCGUUCGGACAAGAAUGACACCGUGGAGCUAAGCGGCACUUUUAAAUAGGGAUGGCGAGGGGAAAGACGCGAGUUUCAUGGAGACAUGGAAGAGCUUUCUCUGCUCCGAGGGGGCCUUGGCCUGGGGAUCUUUGUUUGCCAUCGAAGGCUCAGCUCGCCCUCAGCUCAAUUGAUGUGAGGUCAAUUUUUCCUCUGAUAAAGACGAAUAAAUGUUUAGACAACGCAGACAGACCACAGGGACUGACAACCACGACAAUAAACGAGGCAUAAAGGAAUACACAGAAGAAAAGAGUUUACUUCAGUUCAAGUGCAAGAUAUUAUCUUCUACUGGGGCUAAAAAUAAGAGAGCAGCACAUAUGGCUAGUGACCUCUCUUCCCAAGGAGAAUGGCUGAGAUGUCUGUUUGGAAUUAUUCCUGGAAUUAGACCAGCAUGAAGUCUCCUUUACCAAUCUCAGAUCCACUGAAAUCAGUGAAUAAAGCUGGACGAAUCACCCUUAAACAUCAAAAUACACUUGGUGGAAUAGAAGAGCACCCAGAAAGUAAUAACACACUUAUGGGAUCCAGCCUCUUUGUUUCAAGAUGUGGAGGCAAGCAGGAACCCUUGGAAUUGAAGGCUGUCUGCCCAUGUUGAGCCUGAUCUAUCAAAUUCAGUAUUUUAUAAUAUCACCUCAUUAAGAUCCAUAUAUGCUCAGACAUACAGCAGAUAAUUCACUUGUUAUAAAUAAACAGGUACUUCUUAAUUGUUACCUACCACUAGUGUGUUUGCUUAAACUGUUAUCAAAAGAAAACCUGAAUAUAUUAUUAAAGGACAAGAUUUUUGGA